rnacentral:tRNA from 1 species
GCCGGCGUAGCUCAACAGGUAGAGCGACGCAUUCGUAAUGCGUAGGUUGGGGGUUCAAGUCCCUUCGCCGGCUCCA